UACGGAGGGUGCAAGCGUUAUCCGGAUUCACUGGGUUUAAAGGGUGCGUAGGUGGGCAGGUAAGUCAGUGGUGAAAUCUCCGGGCUUAACUCGGAAAUGGCAUUGAAUACUAUUUGGCUAGAGAGUCGGAGGGGGGACUGGAAUACUUGGUGUAGCAGUGAAAUGCGUAGAUAUCAAGUGGAACACCAGUGGCGAAGGCGAGUCCCUGGACGAUUUCUGACGCUGAGGCACGAAAGCUAGGGGAGCAAACAGG
rnacentral:rRNA from 1 species